rnacentral:rRNA from 1 species
UACAGAGGGUGCAAGCGUUGUUCGGAAUUAUUGGGCGUAAAGCGCGUGUAGGCGGCCAGGUAGGUCGGUUGUGAAAACUCGAGGCUCAACUUCGAGCUGUCGGUGGAAACUUUCUGGCUAGAGUCCGGAAGAGGAGAAUGGAAUUCCUGGUGUAGCGGUGAAAUGCGCAGAUAUCAGGAAGAACACCCGUGGCGAAGGCGGUUCUCUGGGACGGUACUGACGCUGAGACGCGAAAGCGUGGGGAGCGAACAGG